rnacentral:rRNA from 1 species
GAAUUUUGGACAAUGGGCGAAAGCCUGAUCCAGCAAUGCCGCGUGCAGGAUGAAGGCCUUCGGGUUGUAAACUGCUUUUGUACGGAACGAAAAGCUUUUGGUUAAUACCCUGGAGUCAUGACGGUACCGUAAGGAUAAGCACCGGCUAACUACGUUCCCGGAGCCGCUGUAAUACGUAGGGUGCAAGCGUUAAGCGGAAUUACUGGGCGGAAAGCGGCCCCUCUAUUGUUUGUAAGACACAUCGCCAAUCCCCGGGCUCACCCUUCGAACUACCUUUGUGACUCCAAGGCUAGAGUACAGCAGACUGUUGUUGCUUUCCGCUUGUAACCCUGAACUGCGUAAAUCUGCGGAGGACCAACGCUUGCGAAGGCAACCCCCUUGGCCUGUACUUACGCUCAUGCACGAAAGCGUGGGGAGCAAACAG